GUGAUGUGCGUGUUUGUGUAGUGGAUAUAGUGUUUGUGUGUACUAGAUGAAAUGUGUUUAGUGAAUGCAGUGUCUGUAGUGGAUGUAGUGUGUGUAUUAGAUGCAGUGUCUGUGUAUAGUGAAUGCAGAGUGUUUCAAUUUGUGGUGGAUGUAGUGUGUGUACUGUGAAUACAGGAUGUUUGUGUAGUGGAUGCUGUGUGUACAGUUAAUGCAGAGUGUGUGUUAAUGUGUAGUGAAUGCAGAGUGUGUGUCAGUGUAGUG